CCCACUCCAGCUUUCCGCCGCCACGGGGCCCGCUACUGCCGCCCCAGUAGCUCCAGCCACUACCCGAUGCCGGCAGGCCAGCAGCCGGCCACGCUGAAGAGACCGCGGGUAGGGGGCGGCACCGCCGCCCGCCGCCGCGAGGCAGCCGCACACUGUUACCAUUCCAGGCUUGUGUGGGAGAAGAUUGUGUGCCUGUGUCUGUCCGCCGAGGUGGCUCCAGCCCUUAGUUAAUAAAAGGGUCUCACUGUGUAGUCUAGAGUGAUUUUGAACUUCCUGAAGUCCAAGCUAGCUUCAGACUCUGGGGUAAUCCUCCUGCCUCAGCAUCCAAAUCGCAGGAUUACAAGGCACCUACCACCACAGCUGGUGCUAAAGUACUUUGUGAUUACAAGUCACUUUUGUAAAUAAUUUCCCAUGGCCUAUAUUGAGUAGAGUUCUAUCUUAGUAAAGGAGUAUGAAAAUUUACACUUACUCAUACAUAUGUUUGUUAAACACUGAAUGUUGGUCCUCUUAUUAACACACACACAAACACGCCCUUUCUCCAGUAAUCCUAAAAUUCUAGAAUUUGAAAGCCUAACAGGAACUUGAUCUGGAACAUGGCAAAGAUUGACUCUUGGAAGCAUGCAAAUGCUUUUGAAACUAUAAUUUAAGUAAUGGGCCAAAUGUGCAUUUUAAUAGGCAUUGUGUUUGAACUAAUGAAAUUGUUCAUUAGUUCAUUGCUUGAACUAAUGAAAUUUCUUCUGAAAUUUUUAUUAAUGACUGAAAAUGUUCCAUAGUGUAUCGUGUUACAGUAGCCUGAGAGCUAUCCUGACAGGAUGCUUUAGACCUGCUUGAGUUUUCAUUCUACCCUGAAUACCAUAUAGCCUGAGUCUCAGUUUUACCAUUUGUAAAAAUAGAGCCUGACAUUGCCUGGUCUGUUCAUCUCACAUAACCAACAAAAUGAUGAUAGGAAAAGCUGUGGGAACUCUGAAGGACCAUUCAAAUUGAGUAUUAGUAUUAUAACAACUGUAUUUCCACAGAUAGUGAGAAGGUAACAGUUUUUCUCAAAAAAGGAAUAAAAAUAUACAAUUGAAUAGUAAAAUGAAAUAGUCUAAAAGGAGAUUAUUUCUGCUUAUUAUAAGAUACUCAAAUAUUGAAGGAAUAUGUAAUAGCAAGUAUCCCACAUCAUGGAAUCCAAAUAGGGCAGGUACUUGAAUGAUACCUAAUUUUUUCUCCUCUUUUACCUCUUUUUUUCUUCAUGGUAUUUUUAUUCUGGUUACACAUUAAAUGUUCCACAAUCAUGAAAGAGCUGGCAUUCCUAACAAACCUAAAGUAAUGACUUGUUGGUUGGUUUAGCCCCAUGUGCUCAUGCCUCAAGCAAUCACUACUACCAUGUCUUAGAAGUGACAAUAGCUUCCAUUCAGAGUUCAUGUUUAAAAUGAAUGACGUGGUGGCACAUGCCUUUAAUCCUAGCAUUGGGAAGGAAGGUUGAAGCUGGAGGACCUCAGUGGGAGACCAAAGUGGACCAUGUGAAGUUUACCAAUAACCCUGAAGAGGAUUUUAGGAAAUCUAAGUGGAACAAGUUAGGAUAGAAUUGAAAGUAAAGAAGUGGAGAAAAAAAAAAAAACCCAGACAACUCUUCCAAGAAGUCCUAAUUAAAAAGACAGCAGAGAUGCUGGGCAUAGUGGUUCACACCUAUAAUCCCAACACCCAGGAGGCUGAGGCAGGAAAAUCAUCUUGAGUUUGAUUGUGUUGAUAGUGAAUUCAAGGCCAAACUGAGCUACAUAACAAGACCCAGUCUCAAAAACCAAAAUAAAUAAAUAAAUAAAAUAAAAAUAAAAGGACAGCAGAAAAAUGGGGCAGUAGAUAGAUGGCAGAUGAGCAGCCUGAAGGAAAUUGGUUUUAUCUUUUAAAAUGGGAGAAAUUGGGCUGAGGAUUUAGCUCAGUGGCUCAAGCACUUGCUUAGUAAGUACAAGGUCAUGAGUUUGAUCCUGAGUGCCAAAAAUGGCGGGGAGGGGUGAUUAUAUCAUGUAGGUUCAGUAAUUGAAAGUUAAAAGUGGAAAAUUGGUAAAACAAACAAAAAAAAAUUAUAUAUGGAAUGUUAGAAUAGGAUAUGGUAAUAGUGGUAAUCAUAUAGAAAUGCAAGGCAAACAUAUACAUAUGAAAUAAACUAAUCAAGUAAAAAAAUUUCAAGAGCUAUGUUAUAAAAGUGGAAGAGAAGAGGCAGGGGAGUGAGAGUGAAGGGAAGUAAGGGGAAACAAUGGAGGUACGUUAUACAUUAUUAUGAAUGUGCCAGAAUGAAACCUGCUUUCUGUCUGACUGAUACGCUCUAGUUUUAAAAAAAAAGUGAGCAGGUACUAUAGAAGCAGUCUUUGAGAAGGUGAGAGGAAAUAAGGUGCAUUUCAGAAGUAAUAUAUAUCAAGAAUCUGGGAUUUUUAACCUACUUGCAAGCUUACCAAGUUAGCCUCCCACAAUUUCAUGCAUGUUCAGCACAUGGCAUAUUCAGAGACAAAGGAUUUAGUUUCUCACAAUACUGGUUUCCUGAACCCCAGUUCCCACAGAGCACUGUAAAGAGGGCCAGGUAAUACCUGCACUGUAUGUGCACAAAUAAGAAGCUCUGAGUUUAGGGAACCUGAAUUGUUUUCUCGUUUUUUUUGUGUGUAUUGCUUAUUUGUUUCUUUUGAUGUGAGAAUUGAACCCGGGGCCUUUGCACUGAGCCACCCCCUGGGCCUUUUUUAUUUUUUAUUUUGAGAUAGGGUUUUGAUAAGUCACUAGACUUACCUGGCUGGGCUUGAAUUUUUAAUCUUUCUCUUUAGCUUCCUAGAAUACUGAGCUUACAGGUGGAAGCUGCCACAUCCAGCCCUGAUUCUUUUAUAUUGGUCAAUAAAUAUGCUUAUUCUUUGUUCUAGAGAUACAGUGAAUAUUCCUGCUGCUUGUUCCAGAAGGAUACACUAUUUUCUAAGGUUGUUCACUAUACAAACAUUCUCAAUAAUAUAAUCUUGAACAGAGGAAAUGUCUAAGACCCAUGAAGAAUUGUCUCUCAAUAGAGAGUUCAGCCUUCCAUAAGACCAUGGAUAUCUUACUUGUUUUAAGGGGUGGAGGGUAGGCAUUGAGGAAGACAGGUUUUUAGAAAAGAUAUUGGUCACUUUCUUUUUGCUUAAUCUUAUUUUUUUCCCAGUGAUCACUAAGUGAAAAUAUCAGUUGAGAAUGAAGAGUGGAUAUCAAUAAAAUAAAAUAUCAGGUGUGUGUUGAGUGCCUAGAAUAGACAACAUUUUCAUAUCAGCUGUGUUCUUACAAAACCUAAAAGAUGACAUUAGAAAUAAAAGCUUAUUACAGUAAAAAUACCAAUGGAACUCUAUAAGAGAAAUAAUCCUUUGCUUCAGUUGUCACACUCAAGGCAGUCUUCACACAUGAAAUUUAUAUGUUCCAUACACAAGUAUUACUUACACUGAGAGCACAUAUGUUUUGUUUUGCUGUCCUUUCUUGUAGGGUGCAGUUGACAUCUUUUUUCAUUUUCCUGUUAUCAUAGCAGAUCUUUGGGAUGUAGUACCUGCCUGUUCACCUGUCAGCAUGGCCCACAGGUUUUGGUUUUUUUUUUUUUUUUUGCAUCAUUCUCUGGGCAGAAAUAUUUUGGGUUUUUUUUUUUCUGCUUUAAAUGAUCUCUUAUGAAUUCUAGUCCCAAUCCUCUAAGAAAUUUAUGCAUAGUGUUUUGUAUGUGUUAUUUUCUUUGUAAACUAUCACACUAUGCCAUAUAUGUUUAGAAUCAAAACACAACCAUUGGCCAAUGGAAAAAGAAGUAAAAUGUUUUUAGAGUAUGGUCAGUGGUAUGAAGAAUAUGAAAUAGUAACAACUAUCUUUUACUGUGUUCUGAGUUUCUCAUUUAGAAUAUAAGUACCACAAGAGGUAGAAUCUUGUCUGUUAUUAUAUUUAUCAGUGUACCUUGAGGGCUUGGCUAGCAACCAUUGGCUCCUUUAGAUGAAGUUAUCAGGAAAGUUCUUUAAGACACAAGCACAACCAGAACUUAAAAAACAAAAAAAAAGAGUUUCUACCCAAAAAUCUGGAAAAGGAGCAUUGGGAGGAAGAACAGUGUAAAUUUCAAGGUAACAGCACAUUUUGCAUUUUAAAAAAAUAUUAAGAAAGCCAAUGUAGCUGAAGAGUUGUAAGGGCAAGAAAGUAUAACAUAGGGAGAGGCCAGAGCAAGAACAGAAGCUAAAACAGUGUGAGGCCUUAUAAGCCAAGAUAAACCACUGGAGGUUUAAUCUGCAGAGUUACAAACCUAUUUUUUUUUAGAAGUUUACACUAAUAGUUGUAUAGAAAAUAGACUGAAGACAAUAGGAGGGGAAGCAAUAGAUCACUCAGGAGAGAGGCAAUAGUGGCAUAGUACAGGGAAAGAAAUACUGAAAAUUGAAAUACAGUCUAAAGACAGAAUACCAUUUAUAAUCUAGAGACUGGCUGGUUGGCUGGUUGUGUAUGUGAAGAUAAGAAAAGAGUCAAAAAGACUUCAGUGGUUUGGCCUAAGUAUCUUGGUGGUAGUGGUGCUACUAAAUGAUAGGGAAGUGGAGAAAAAUAGAGAUUUUUCUAGGGAAAAUUCAAGAAUUUAGUUUUGGUCAUAGGAAACAUACAGUGCCUAUUAGAAAUCAAAGUAGAUACAUAGAUUACAUAGUUGACUUAUCAUAUAGCAAGAUGUCUGAGGUGAAGAUACUCUAGUGAGUAAUUAACAUUUCGAUUCGGUGUAAAGCUAUAACUAAGAUUACAAGGGAGAAUGUGUAGAUACACGUGCCUUGAGCAUAUGUCAUAGGGCUUUAGUUUUUGGCUUCAAAUAGUAUAAUAUUUUAUAUGAAACAGCAUUACUUUUCAGAUAAGUUAGUUUUUGUGAGGAGGGUUGUUUUGGUUUUUUUGUUUCGUGUUUUGUAGAGUUUGUUUGUUGAUUUUUGAACCUGGGUCUUGUUCUGUAGUAUAGAUUGUCCUUGAACUCAUUAUGUAUCCCAGGCUGGCCUCAGACAUGAGGCAAUCCUGCCUCAGCCUCUGGAGUGCUGGGAUUACAGGCAUGCACCACCAUGACCUGCUAAAUUUGUUGGUUUCAAAAUGCCACUAUGUCUUCCUCUCAAAAGUAAUGGGAGGCCAUUUUGGUGAGAAGCACUAAUCAAGCAGUAGCACCUGCCAGUAUUAUCAGACACAAUGAAAAGGCCAUGGUCCCAACAUGCCCCUCUCUCUCUUCCAUUCUAGUCUACCCUGACUUCUCUAAGCCAUAGUGAUCCCUCUUUCUUCAAACUCCUUAAUCUGUCUCCAAACCCCUCAAUUUUUCAGUAGCAUGUGUAUUCUGCAGGUAUUCCUUCCAGUGUUACAGUUAUUUAAGCUGUGCAGAAACUCUUUAAUAUUUUUUUCCUCUCCUUAUACAAAGUUGUGUUUGUCUUUUCAGUCUCUCUGGUUGGUUCUAGCUAUUCACAAUUGCUUAACAUCCCCACUUUUUAAAAAAAUUUUAUUUAAAGAAAAAAAGGAUAGAAAUAAUAUAUAAUUUCAAAAAAUAAACAGUAAGAGAUCACUAGUUGAUAAAUUACAUAUUGUCUUAGAAACAGUUGUUCAAGUUACAAAAGUAAAAUAUACAAAGUGGAUAUUCAAACAGCAAGACUGCAAACAGUUCUGUUCAACUAUGCAACAAAAACUUAGUAAUAUGGUUAUCGAUCCUACAUACUUAAACAUACAUGCAGUUAUAUCCUUUAGAGAAAAACAUGGAACAAAUUGGCAUGUCAUCCUUGAGCAGGGGCCAUGCUAAUCUUCUCUGUAUCAUUCCAAUUUUAGUAUGUAUGCUGCCAAAGCAAGCACCAUCCCCACUUUUUAGCAAUGUUGUAACUUCCUCCCUGAUAUAUAUUUCUAUCUCUUAUUACGUCCUAAAUUCCCCAUAUGGAAUGUAAUUACCACAAGAGCUAGGAUCUUGUUUGUUGUUUUUAUCACUAUACUCUCUGAACCCAAGCAGUGUUCUUAAGUAAACAAAAAGACAAUGAAUGCAAUAGCUAUUGAUAGAUAUAUUUUCUAAGUACUAUAUGUAAGAAGCUUGGAUCUGUAGAUCAUAUAAAUUACAGGCAGAGAGAGAACAGCCCAGUCAAUACCCAAUUACUCCAUCUACUGCAGGUGAAGUAUGACAGGUGAAUAAAGACAUCUUGUAUUCUCUAGCUCCAAUCAGCAUGCUCCAACCAACCGUAUAUAGCAGAAGCAAGACAUGCCUAAGAUGUCCUAAAGUGUGCAAAUCUAAGAAACAACAAUUUUUUUAAAAAAAUUUAAGCCACUAUUUUUGGGGGUGACUUGCAGUAUAGCAAUAUAGGAUCUGUCUUGUCAUCUCUUUUCUAACAAAUCUUCCAGAAACACACUACAUUUAAAAUGGCAGAAUUACAGAAGCAGUUAUCCUUUGUUCCAUUAGUUUCCUUUCUAGGAAUCUACCCCAAAGAUAUCCUGGCAAAAAUACAGAGACAUAUUGCAACACUGCUUAUAGUAGCAACAAAGUUCAAACAAUUCAGUGUCUAUUUGUAGGAGACUGGAUGAAUAAACUUUGAAACAUCCACAUGAUGAAGUAUUAUGUGAGCAAAAAACAGGGAUGAGGAAUGUUCCAUAAACUACCAUUGAGUAACCACCAGUUUUAAGGUUGAAUGAAAAACAAAAAGGCUGAAAAAAUAUGUGUGGUGUGCUAUGCUAUUAUUUAACUUUUUUCUUUAAUAAAAAGAUUAAAUUUUAGGAGCUGAGGAUUUAGCUCAGUGGCAUGAGUGCCUGUCUAGCAAGUGUGAGGUCGUGAGUUUGAUCCCUGCUACCGCAAAAAAAAAAAAAAAAAAAAAAAAAAAAAAGAUUAAAUUUUAAAAAGAAAUUACUACCUACAGUGAGAAAGAAAGAGUAGAUAAAUAAUAACACAGGAAUAUAAUCUUAGGAAACUAUAAAACAAACAUCCUGUUUUUCUCCACAAAUAAAACUUAAAAUGAAAAGGAAUAGAAUAGAAACUUAAGUUAUUUUAAGGAAGAACUUAAAAAGGCACAUGAACCAGUUAUGCUCUAUGAUACUAUUUGUAUUUUAAUUUGAAUAAACUAACUAAAAAAUGUUUAUGGAACAAUGAGAAAGUUUCAACACUUGUUAGAUAUUUGAUGAUAUUGAGGAAUUAUUGUUUAGCUAGACUAAUGAUAGUGUGAUCGUGUUUUUAAAAGAGUAUUACAUACAAGUACUGAAAUUUUUGUGGGUGAAAUGAUAUUGAGAGUUGCCUCAAAAUAAUUAGAUUGGUGAACUGGGUAAAAUUAUAAGUAAAAUAAAAUUGGCCACAAGAGUCGAUAAUUAAUGAAUCUGAGUGAUUGGUUCAUGGUUUAUUCUGUUAUCCCUUUUGAUUCCAUUUAAAGUUUUUUUACAAUAAAAGGUUAAAAUAGGGAAGGCCACUGAGGCAGUGAAUCCUCUUUUUCAUGUUAUCAUACCUUAGGUCCAUCAUUCCAAGUAACCAUGUCUGUCAUCAAAAGUCCUAUCCAUAAAAUCACAAUGAAUGUUUAUAAAACUGUGUGAGUAACACCAUGUGAUUUUAAAAUUUUAAGAAGUUCUCAGAGGGCAAAACAUUUUUGCUGUUUGCUUUAUUUUUCUUUUUAAACAAUUUUCAGUGUUAUUGUUGUCUCUAACCUUUAUUAAAAGUUUUAACUACCA